rnacentral:rRNA from 1 species
GACGAACGCUGGCGGCGUGCUUAACACAUGCAAGUCGAACGAAGAGCGAUGGAAGCUUGCUUCUAUCAAUCUUAGUGGCGAACGGGUGAGUAACGCGUAAUCAACCUGCCCUUCAGAGGGGGACAACAGUUGGAAACGACUGCUAAUACCGCAUACGAUCUAAUCUCGGCAUCGAGGAUAGAUGAAAGGUGGCCUCUACAUGUAAGCUAUCACUGAAGGAGGGGAUUGCGUCUGAUUAGCUAGUUGGAGGGGUAACGGCCCACCAAGGCGAUGAUCAGUAGCCGGUCUGAGAGGAGGGACGGCCACAUUGGGACUGAGACACGGCCCAGACUCCUACGGGAGGCAGCAGUGGGGAAUCUUCCGCAAUGGACGAAAGUCUGACGGAGCAACGCCGCGUGAGCGAUGACGGCCUUCGGGUUGUAAAGCUCUGUUAAUCGGGACGAAAGGCCUUCUUGCGAAUAGUGAGAAGGAUUGACGGUACCGGAAUAGAAAGCCACGGCUAACUACGUG